AAGGACAGCAAUGCUGACGCUUUGUGUUUGCCGACUCUGCUUUAUUCAAAAGGGAUGGCUACCAUGGGGAGAAAUCAGUGGGACCUCCCCAGUACUUGAAAAUCUGCAGCCCACACCUGCCAAUGAUUCCUGGUGCAGAGCAGCCCUCACCAGCAGUCUCGCCCUGAUCUCUGAUCUCCCUGCCUCUAAUUUUCUCUCUUGUUGGAAGCCCUUCAUCUCCUUCCCUACCACACUCCCUGGGACAAUGGAGUUUGUCGGCAGAGAGAGCAAAUUUUUUUUCUUCUUUUUAUUCUUCCUGUAAAUUCAAACAAGCGGCCAGCACUACAAGAACUUUCAUAUUUGCAAACACCCCAGGGUGUUUCGCAAAAAUCAAUCUGACCGAAAACCAUAAAAUAUAAAUUCACCUGAUACAAGGACAGGAUGACGGUGGAGAUUUCUCCCCCUACCUCCGUAUUACACGGUGGCCAUACAAAUGACUCUGACAACUGCACCAAUUACUAGAGCCACUGGAUAAAUCUCAAGGUCAGGAGAAUUUGCAGGAAAAAGCAAGCAAAUGAAAUGCAUCUUUAAAGCGUUCUCUUUGCAUAGGAGAGCCUGCUCGGGAGCACAUUCCAGCAAAAAAUAGAUGAUUUGGGCAAGAAAUUUUCCACCUUCCCUUGGUGAUACUGCAGCUAUCUGAGAAUCACAGCCCCACCAUCUCUUCCCAGAGGGCUUUCCUAAUCUGGAGUCGACGCCAUGUGCAUCCCUUAUUGUGGAAGAAAUGAGGAUUGUGCUGGGCGUGGGGCAAGGCAGACUGGAAGGGCAUAGCUGCUGAAUAUUUACACACAUAAAAUGUUAACAUUUUUCUAAUUAUAAAAAAUAUUCUUAGUGUUGAAACUUUACAAACCACAAGGAAAAAUAUUAGUCACUCACAAUUCCCCUCCAACCAUUGCUUGGUAGCAGACCCCCAGCGCACUCUCCCAGGCCUGCAGCAGAAUCUCCUGGUAGAUACACAAAAGGAAGACUCCUGGGCCUACCCCCAAAUCUGCAGAACCCAGAUUUCUGGGGAUGGAUGAGUCCCCAGCAUCCAGAUUUUUGAAAAGCACUCCCAGCAAUUCUUAUGUGAACUUCUUCUCUGAUCUGUAAACCCUCCCAAUGCAGAUACUUGUGUUUCUUUGUUCACUAUUGUAUUCCAGAGCCUGGCACAUAG
rnacentral:lncRNA from 1 species